rnacentral:tRNA from 1 species
GCGCCCGUAGCUCAGCGGUCAGAGCGCCCGCAGAUCAAAUCCCGCCUCACUCGUGUCGUCCGCCCCUAGGUGGUGCUCGAGUGGGAACGGGGGUCAUGAGGGAGGUCGGGGAUUCGAAUUCCUCUGGACGCA